UACAGGGGGUGCAAACGUUGCUCGGAAUCAUUGGGCGUAAAGCGCACGUAGGCGGUCUGUUAUGUCGGAUGUGAAAGCCCCUUGGCUCAACUGAGGAAGUGCAUCCGAAACUGGCAGGCUAGAGUGCAGCAGAGGAUAGUGGAAUUCCCGGUGUAGUGGUGAAAUGCGUAGAUAUCGGGAGGAACACCAGUGGCGAAGGCGACUAUCUGGGCUGCAACUGACGCUGAGGCGCGAAGGCUAGGGUAGCAAACAGG
rnacentral:rRNA from 1 species